rnacentral:rRNA from 1 species
GCUUCUUCUGAUUUAGCGGCGGACGGGUGAGUAACACGUGGGCAACCUGCCCUGUAGAUUGGGAUAACUCCGGGAAACCGGGGCUAAUACCGAAUAAUCCAUUUCCUCACAUGGGGAGAUGUUAAAAGACGGCAUCUCGCUGUCACUACAGGAUGGGCCCGCGGCGCAUUAGCUAGUUGGUGAGGUAACGGCUCACCAAGGCGACAAUGCGUAGCCGACCUGAGAGGGUGAUCGGCCACACUGGGACUGAGACACGGCCCAGACUCCUACGGGAGGCAGCAGUAGGGAAUCUUCCACAAUGGACGAAAGUCUGAUGGAGCAAUGCCGCGUGAGUGAAGAAGGUUUUCGGAUCGUAAAACUCUGUUGUGAGGGAAGAACAAGUAUGAGAGUAACUGCUCGUACCUUGACGGUACCUCAUUAGAAAGCCACGGCUAACUACGUGCCAGCAGCCGCGGUAAUACGUAGGUGGCAAGCGUUGUCCGGAAUUAUUGGGCGUAAAGCGCGCGCAGGCGGUCCUUUAAGUCUGAUGUGAAAUCCCACGGCUCAACCGUGGAAGGUCAUUGGAAACUGGGGGACUUGAGUACAGAAGAGGAAAGCGGAAUUCCAAGUGUAGCGGUGAAAUGCGUAGAGAUUUGGAGGAACACCAGUGGCGAAGGCGGCUUUCUGGUCUGUAACUGACGCUGAGGCGCGAAAGCGUGGGGAGCAAACA